AUGGAGGAUGAAGCGACGACCAAGCGGAGGAGGACGGAGGGCCACAGUGGCCUCAGCGACGAACCCGGGCUAUCCUCCUUCCACAUGGAGGAUCUCCCCGAGGAUAUUCGACCUAUUAUAUUGUCUCUGCUUUCAUUGAAAGAGGUUGCAAGGACCAGCAUUGUGUCCAGAAAUUGGACCAAACUCUGGACGCACCAUCCUAAUCUCUGUUUUGAUGGCACCAAAGACCGGUCCACUGAUGAGGACAGUGUCAAAAUAGAAAGAGCAAAGUUCAUUGAGACGGUCAAUUCUAUUAUACAACAGCACAGUGGAACAGGGUUCAACAAGUUCAGCAUCAGGUGUGGCCUCCAGCCGAAGUCCUCCGAUCAUCUUAAUAGGUGGAUUUACUUUUGCACUGCAGCAAAGGCAAAGAUCAUAGAUAUUAACCUCUGGUCAAGAAGAAUAACAAAACGAGUUUAUCACUUCCCUCUUGACGCUUUAUGUGCUCAAGGUGGCCCUUUAAUCGAGUCGUUAUUUCUGAAAGAUGUUUCUAUAAAGCCACACUCAGAUAUAUGUGGCUUUACAAAACUCACAAGGCUUCUUCUGCACUCUGUUAAAAUAACUGGAGAUUUUCCAGGCUUGCUAUUAAGUUGUUCUAGUCUUGAGGACUUGGAGCGCAUUGCUUGCUCGGGUGUGACUGAUCUCAAUAUACCACACCAACUCAAUAAACUUAGACAUUUGCUAAUUUCCCGUAUGCCUGUCCAGAUGAUUGAUUUUCAUGUUACUGCCCUUACCCAUUUUGAGUACAAAGGGGAUGUGAUUCCUAUAGAACUUCAUGGUUGCUCAAAAUUAGAAAAGGCUACAGUAAUGUUUGAAACAGAUAAUAAAGAACUUGGGCAUGCAUUCACUGCGAUUCCCAGGAUUUCGGCAGUCAAGGUGCUAAUAAUGCAUGCUUAUAUGAAGGCAGAUAUUCCCGUUUGGAUCUCACAGGUACACAUGGUGACAACAAGACCGGCAUGCAUGUAUACGAAUUUGAGGCAUCUGACUUGUGAAAUAAAAAAUCGACACCAAGGUUCCAAAUAG
rnacentral:rRNA from 1 species